rnacentral:rRNA from 1 species
GUGGGGAAUAUUGGACAAUGGGCGCAAGCCUGAUCCAGCCAUGCCGCGUGUGUGAAGAAGGCCUUUUGGUUGUAAAGCACUUUAAGCGAGGAGGAGGCUCCUUUAGUUAAUACCUAAAGAGAGUGGACGUUACUCGCAGAAUAAGCACCGGCUAACUCUGUGCCAGCAGCCGCGGUAAUACAGAGGGUGCGAGCGUUAAUCGGAUUUACUGGGCGUAAAGCGUGCGUAGGCGGCUUUUUCAGUCGGAUGUGAAAUCCCUGUGCUUAACUUAGGAAUUGCAUUCGGUACUGGAAAGAUAGAGUAUGGGAGAGGAUGGUAGAAUUCCAGGUGUAGCGGUGAAAUGCGUAGCGAUCUGGAGGAAUACCGAUGGCGAAGGCAGCCAUCUUGCCUAAUACUGACGCUGAGGUACGAAAGCAUGGGGAGCAAACAGGAUUAGAAACCCGUGUAGUCC